rnacentral:rRNA from 1 species
AUUGAACGCUGGCGGCAGGCCUAACACAUGCAAGUCGAGCGGAUGAAGGGAGCUUGCUCCUGGAUUCAGCGGCGGACGGGUGAGUAAUGCCUAGGAAUCUGCCUGGUAGUGGGGGAUAACGUCCGGAAACGGGCGCUAAUACCGCAUACGUCCUGAGGGAGAAAGUGGGGGAUCUUCGGACCUCACGCUAUCAGAUGAGCCUAGGUCGGAUUAGCUAGUUGGUGGGGUAAAGGCCUACCAAGGCGACGAUCCGUAACUGGUCUGAGAGGAUGAUCAGUCACACUGGAACUGAGACACGGUCCAGACUCCUACGGGAGGCAGCAGUGGGGAAUAUUGGACAAUGGGCGAAAGCCUGAUCCAGCCAUGCCGCGUGUGUGAAGAAGGUCUUCGGAUUGUAAAGCACUUUAAGUUGGGAGGAAGGGCAGUAAGUUAAUACCUUGCUGUUUUGACGUUACCAACAGAAGAAGCACCGGCUAACUUCGU